GCCUUCGUGGUGUAAUGGUCAGCACACUGAGCCGGUAUUUCAGAGGUCCGCGGUUCGAUUCCCGGGGAAGGCG
rfam:Stegodyphus mimosarum contig98473, whole genome shotgun sequence.